UGAUGUGAGGGUGAUCUGGAUGCGACAUCUGUCACCCCAUUGAUCGCCAGGGUUGAUUCGGCUGAUCUGGCUGGCUAGGCGGGUGUCACCUUCCUCCCUCACCGCUCCAUGUGCGUCCCUCCCGAAGCUGCAUGCUCGGUUGAAGAGGACGACCUUCCCCGAUAGAGGAGACGACCGUUCUUCGGUCAAGGGUAUACAAGUAGCUGCGCUCCCCUGCUAGAACCUCCAGACAAGCUCCCAAGAUCCAGCUUUUCAAUACAAAAUAACAGCCAGCAAUUCUCAGAGGUAUAUGUUUUUUUUU
rnacentral:snRNA from 1 species